UACGAAGGGGGCUAGCGUUGCUCGGAAUCACUGGGCGUAAAGGGUGCGUAGGCGGGUCUUUAAGUCAGGGGGGAAAUCCUGGAGCUCAACUCCAGAACUGCCUUUGAUACUGAAGAUCUUGAGUCCGGGAGAGGUGAGUGGAACUGCGAGUGUAGAGGUGAAAUUCGUAUAUAUUCGCAAGAACACCAGUGGCGAAGGCGGCUCACUGGCCCGGUACUGACGCUGAGGCACGAAAGCGUGGGGAGCAAACAGG
rnacentral:rRNA from 1 species